rnacentral:rRNA from 1 species
AUUGAACGCUGGCGGCAUGCCUAACACAUGCAAGUCGAACGAGUGGCGGACGGGUGAGUAAUGUAUGGGAAACUGCCUGAUGGAGGGGGAUAACUAGUGGAAAAGGUAGCUAAUACCGCAUACCACCAUAUGUGCCCAGAUGGGAUUAGCUUGUUGGUGGGGUAACGGCUCACAACGGCGACGAGCCCUAGCUGGUCUGAGAGGAUGAACAGCCACACUGGAACUGAGACACGGUCCAGACUCCUACGGGAGGCAGCAGUGGGGAAUAUUGGGCAAUGGUCGCAAGCCUGAUGCAGCCAUGCCGCGUGAGUGAAGAAGGCCUUCGGGUUGUAAAGUACUUUCAGCGGGGAGGCGUUACCCGCAGAAGAAGCACCGGCUAACUACGUGCCAGCAGCCGCGGUAAUAC